AUCAACUUUCGAUGGUAGGAUAGAGGCCUACCAUGGUGGUAACGGGUAACGGGGUGUUAGGGCACGACACCGGAGAGGGAGCCUGAGAAACGGCUACCACAUCCAAGGAUGGCAGCAGGCGCGCAAAUUACCCAAUCCCGACACGGGGAGGUAGUGACAAUAAAUAACAAUACGGGGUUCUUUCGGAUCUCGUAAUUGGAAUGAGUACAAUUUAAAUCUCUUAACGAGGAACAAUUGGAGGGCAAGUCUGGUGCCAGCAGCCGCGGUAAUUCCAGCUCCAAUAGCGUAUAUUAAAGUUGUUGCAGUUAAAAAGCUCGUAGUUGAAUUUCGGGACCAAUUUGUUGGUCGUGCCUCGGUACGUACUGGUAUUAUUGGUUUCUACCUUCUGAAGAACCUUGAUGUCAUUAAUUUGGUGUCUUGGGGAAUCAGGACUGUUACUUUGAAAAAAUUAGAGUGUUUAAAGCAAGCGUACGCUUGAAUACAUUAGCAUGGAAUAAUGAAAUAGGACGUUUGAUUCUAUUUUGUUGGUUUCUAGGAUCGACGUAAUGACUAAUAGGGAUAGUUGGGGGCAUUAGUAUUCAAUUGUCAGAGGUGAAAUUCUUGGAUUUAUUGAAGACUAACUACUGCGAAAGCAUUUGCCAAGGAUGUUUUCAUUAAUCAAGAACGAAAGUUAGGGGAUCGAAGACGAUCAGAUACCGUCGUAGUCUUAACCAUAAACUAUGCCGACUAGGGAUCGGAUGAUGUUAAUUUUUUAAUGACUCAUUCGGCGCCUUACGGGAAACCAAAGUGUUUGGG
rnacentral:rRNA from 1 species